GUAGCCUAGGCGGGGCUCGCUUCUGGACUCCACCUCCCAUCGUGUAUUGCUUUCAGCGCCUCGGAACAUCCGGGAGAGCUGACUUCCGGCGGCUUGUGGGAGUGCUUCUUCUAUCUUCCUUACGGGUGCGGAGAUGGUUGUCUUGGUUACUGGUCCUAACGGUCCCCUGCCCUGAAAUCCCUUGUUGAGGGCCUGCAACCUUGAGCUUCCGACUGGAGACGCCUUUGGUCCCUCGAAGUAUCUGCACUGGCGGCUGGUCAAGCGUUCAGUGUGGAGUAAUUGACUCUUUCGAGAAUAUUAAAAUCGAAUUAGAGAAGAAAACUGAUCCAUAAUAAUAAAAAUGUCUCGAAAAAUUUCAAAGGAGUCAAAAAAAGUGAACAUCUCUAGUUCUCUAGAAUCUGAAGAUAUUAGUUUAGAAACAACAGUUCCUACGGAUGAUAUUUCCUCAUCAGAAGAGCGAGAGGGUAAAGUCAAAAUCACCAGGCAGCUAAUUGAACGAAAAGAACUACUUCAUAAUAUUCAGUUACUAAAAAUUGAGCUAUCCCAGAAAACUAUGAUGAUCGACAAUUUGAAAGUGGAUUAUCUUACAAAGAUUGAAGAGUUGGAGGAGAAACUUAAUGAUGCACUUCACCAGAAGCAGCUACUAACAUUGAGAUUAGACAACCAAUUGGCUUUUCAACAGAAAGAUGCCAGCAAAUAUCAAGAAUUAAUGAAACAAGAAAUGGAAACCAUUUUAUUGAGACAGAAACAACUGGAAGAGACAAAUCUUCAGCUAAGAGAAAAAGCUGGAGAUGUUCGUCGAAACCUGCGUGACUUUGAGUUGACAGAAGACCAAUAUAUUAAAUUAAAAGCUUUUCCUGAAGAUCAGCUUUCUAUUCCUGAAUAUGUAUCUGUUCGGUUCUAUGAACUAGUGAAUCCAUUAAGAAAGGAAAUCUGUGAACUACAAGUGAAAAAGAAUAUCCUAGCAGAAGAAUUAAGUACAAACAAAAGCCAGCUGAAGCAGCUGACAGAGACAUAUGAGGAAGAUAGAAAAAACUACUCUGAAGUUCAAAUUAGAUGUCAACGUUUGGCCUUAGAAUUAGCAGACACAAAACAGUUAAUUCAGCAAGGUGACUACCGCCAAGAGAACUAUGAUAAAGUCAAGAGUGAACGUGAUGCACUUGAGCAGGAAGUAAUUGAGCUUAGGAGAAAACAUGAAAUACUUGAAGCCUCUCACAUAAUUCAAACAAAAGAACGAAGUGAAUUAUCAAAAGAGGUAGCCACGUUACAGCAGACUGUUACUUUACUGCAAAAGGAUAAAGAAUAUCUCAAUCGCCAAAACAUGGAGCUUAGUGUUCGCUGUGCUCAUGAAGAGGAUCGCCUUGAAAGACUUCAAGCUCAACUUGAAGAAACCAAAAAGGCUAGAGAAGAGAUGUAUGAAAAAUACAUAGCAUCCAGAGACCAUUAUAAAACAGAAUAUGAAAACAAACUACAUGAUGAACUAGAACAAAUCAGAUUGAAAACCAACCAAGAAAUUGAUCAACUUCGAAAUGCCUCUAGGGAAAUGUAUGAACGAGAAAACAGAAAUCUCCGAGAAGCAAGGGAUAAUGCUGUGGCUGAAAAGGAACGAGCAGUGAUGGCUGAAAAGGAUGCUUUAGAAAAACAUGAUCAGCUCUUAGACAGGUACAGAGAACUACAACUUAGUACAGAAAGCAAAGUAACAGAAUUUCUCCAUCAAAGUAAAUUAAAAUCUUUUGAAAGUGAGCGUGUUCAACUUCUACAAGAGGAAACGGCAAGAAAUCUUACACAGUGUCAAUUGGAAUGUGAAAAAUAUCAGAAAAAAUUAGAGGUUUUAACCAAAGAAUUUUAUAGUCUCCAAGCGUCUUCUGAAAAACGCAUUACUGAACUUCAGGCACAGAACUCGGAGCAUCAAGCAAGGCUAGACAUUUAUGAGAAACUGGAAAAAGAGCUUGAUGAAAUAAUAAUGCAAACUGCAGAAAUUGAAAAUGAAGAUGAGGCUGAAAGAGUUCUUUUUUCCUAUGGCUAUGGUGCUAAUGUUCCCACAACAGCCAAAAGACGACUAAAGCAAAGUGUUCACUUGGCAAGAAGAGUGCUUCAAUUGGAAAAACAAAACUCACUGAUUUUAAAAGACCUGGAACAUCGAAAGGACCAAGUAACACAGCUUUCACAAGAGCUUGACAGAGCCAAUUCGCUAUUAAACCAGACUCAACAGCCUUACAGGUAUCUCAUUGAAUCAGUGCGUCAGAGAGAUUCUAAGAUUGAUUCACUGACGGAAUCUAUUGCACAACUUGAGAAAGAUGUCAGCAACUUAAAUAAAGAAAAGUCAGCUUUACUACAGAUGAAGAAUCAAAUGGCAUUAGACUUAGAGCAACUUCUAAAUCAUCGUGAGGAAUUGGCAGCAAUGAAACAGAUUCUCGUUAAGAUGCAUAGUAAACAUUCUGAGAACAGCUUACUUCUCACUAAAACAGUAUCAAAAAAUGUGACAGAAAAUCAGAAAUCAAAGACUUUGAAUAUACCUAAAGAGCAUGAAGACAAUAUAUUUACACCUAAACCAACACUCUUUAGAACCUGAAUUUCAGACAAUAAUAUAACUGAAGGACAAAGUUCACCAAUCGAAGGAUUGAAAAUAUCUUUGAAUGAUACUAAAAAAGAAGCACCUGAGUGGUCUAAGAAACAAAAGAUGAAGACCUAGUGUUGUGGAUGGGAAGCACCUGUAGACCGUUAUUUACUCCUGAAGUUCUUUUUCUGAUGGAAAACAAAAUUCAUCUUAAUCAUGUACUCAGCAUUUUUUAAAUAACAAUGUUUAUUUGAACUAGUAUUAAAUUAACAAAUUUAGUGU